GACGUAGGGCGCAAGCGUUGUUCGGAUUCAUUGGGCGUAAAGGGUGCGUAGGUGGCGCGGUAAGUCGGGUGUGAAAUUUCGGAGCUUAACUCCGAAACUGCAUUCGAUACUGCCGUGCUUGAGGACUGGAGAGGAGACUGGAAUUUACGGUGUAGCAGUGAAAUGCGUAGAGAUCGUAAGGAAGACCAGUGGCGAAGGCGGGUCUCUGGACAGUUCCUGACACUGAGGCACGAAGGCCAGGGGAGCAAACGGG
rnacentral:rRNA from 1 species